rnacentral:lncRNA from 1 species
UUCGCAUUAAUCUGCUUCCACUUCUUGUAUGUACUACUAGUCUUCGGUCCGUCCUUCGAAGGACUUCUGUUACUUCCGUUAACAACAUCUCACAAAUCCUCGCCACAAGAUAUGAUUCCAUGCAUGUGUUUUAUACCUUGUAAUUGGACUGAUUUAACUACUCCAUUCUCAGUCCAUUAAUGCGACUGCUAAAAUCCAUUCACACAAACCAGUUGAAUCAACCACAAACCCGAUCUUGAAAUAAACACAAGUCAAUCUAAGACUUUGGCUCUGAUACCAUGUAGAGAAUAGCAGAAGAAAGGUGUAACUGGAGAGACCUUCUGCUAACCCAAGAUCGUUAGCUAAGAUCGAAAGAUUCAACUAAAGAAGAGGGAGCUAUGAAGAAGAGGCUUUGUUAUGGAAGAAGACUUCUUGAAUUUGA